rnacentral:rRNA from 1 species
AUUGAACGCUGGCGGCAGGCCUAACACAUGCAAGUCGAACGAGUGGCGGACGGGUGAGUAAGGUCUGGGAAACUGCCUGAUGGAGGGGGAUAACUACGGGAAACGGUAGCUAAUACCGCAUAACAUAGGAUGUGCCCAGAUGGGAUUAGCUAGUAGGUGGGGUAAAGGCUCACCUAGGCGACGAUCCCUAGCUGGUCUGAGAGGAUGACCAACCACACUGGAACUGAGACACGGUCCAGACUCCUACGGGAGGCAGCAGUGGGGAAUAUUGCACAAUGGGCGCAAGCCUGAUGCAGCCAUGCCGCGUGUAUGAAGAAGGCCUUCGGGUUGUAAAGUACUUUCAGUGGGGAGGCGUUACCCGCAGAAGAAGCACCGGCUAACUCCGUGCCAGCCGCCGCGGUAAUUC